GAAGCUUCCGCGCGCUGCUGCUGAAUAUACCCGGGAAAUAGUUCUUUGGUUUCGUUGAUUAGUUUGUCACUGUGUAAUUUGGGAAUUCGCCGGUGUCUCUGCAGAAGCUGAACAUUGCGCUGCGACGCCCGUUUGCGGGGAGGUCCGUGCUGCUGGAAAAUGUACGAGAUUUCAUUCGGGACGGUGAUCGAUGACUGUUUCUGUUGAACGGCCGUUGCCCGAGCAAAAUGUCCUGUCGAUGGGCCACGGAGGAUUCCACAGCGCCGAAAACGCAGAUAACCGUGAUCCAUUCAGAACACGCUGACAACCGACGCGAGCUUAUCUGUACACCGUAGCCACGAAAAUGCCUUCGUUAAGCUCAGUGAGCAGCUUACCGAGAUACGCUCUCGUUUUUACGACACGCCCGAGCGCGAUGAGCGAUCGAGCAGACGAGGACCUCCACCCUGGCGGCUGUUCCUUCGAUCGUUUCCGGUUUCUGGCGAACCGUGUCUCUCCAGUUUUUCCCGGAGAAAAAAGUUGCCCGAGAUUUUGUCCGGGAUUAGGCAAUUACUCCUACGCUUCGAUCCUGCGCGACUUGCAAAUUAUUUCGAGUUAACUGUCCACGUAAUUUCUGAGCUUCUUCUGGUCAUUCCAAACGAAUUUCAUCGUAUUCGAAUUCAUUUGCACCGCCAACGAUUAUCGAAAUAGAAAUAAAAGUUAUUCGAGCGUCUACAAUUCCAUUGCUCGCCUAUCUUAAUCAGUAUGAAAAUAAGCAAUUCGUAAUCUGAUUUAAUUGCAUCCGAAUCGUUUGAACUGCUGCCUAACGAUUCCGAAAUAAAGCUAAAAGUUGUUCGAAUAUUUGGCGCUGUGCUCGCUUGUCCAUCCUGAUCGGUCGUUUAAAAUGAAAAUGAGGAAUUAAGUAGUCUGAUUUAAUCGCGUUCGAAUAGUUUGAACGAUUUCUCUUUAAUUAACCGUUUAAUUAACUGUUUAACGAAAAUAGAAAUUUCGCGAGUAUUUAGUGUUCCGUUCGCUUGUCUUGUUUUAACUAGAAUUAUGGAACGAAACUAAUGAAUUUCUAGAUUACAUCGACAAUUUUUUUUACAAGAUUCGGAUGUUGAUUCGAGGAACGUGUAGAGGAUUAAAGCGUCUGUGUUCCAUCCUUCACCGUCCAUAAAGCGGACGCAAACGUAGGCGACGUUUCAUAAAAUACAGGAACGACCACAAAGGCAGAUUCAGCAAGGAAUGAAAAUAAAAAUGAAAAUAAAAAUGAAAAGAAAAGAAGAGUCCCAUACAUGUAGAUCCGCCUUGUUCACAGUCGCUUCGAAGUUACAGCUGACUUUUAAACAUUCAAUAAAUUUUAUUUCCACCCGAGGUACAACAGUUUACUGCGUUUGCCCAGUUAAAAUCACAGUUUGGCGUCCUCGGUGUCCUGUGCGUAAUACCCAUAGCAUUCCCUGGUAAUUUUGCUUCGUAAAGAUUGCGCGCGUUAAAAUCUACUAACGGCAUAAUACCGAGCGAAAUAAAGCUGCUGUUAAACUGUCCGUUCGAAACUUUCUUGCAAACGUUUUCGUUCCACAAAGCUCGCGUCGAUAUCAUUGCAAUCGUUCUCGCUAUUUCGCGCAGUUCGAUCAAUUAAUCUCGAUUAAUCUUUGUUAAAGACAUCGACUAAUAAAUGUACCCGAAUACCUAAUUAUUAGAGAAUGAAUUAA